ensembl:snRNA U6 U6 spliceosomal RNA
GUGCUUGCUUCGACACCACAUAUACUACUAAAAAAUUGGAAUGAUACAGAGAAGACUGGCAUGGUCCCUGCACAAGGAUGACACACAAAUUCAUGAAGCAUUCCAUAUUAAA